rnacentral:rRNA from 1 species
GACGAACGCUGGCGGCGUGCCUAAUACAUGCAAGUAGAACGCUGAAGAGAGGAGCUUGCUCUUCUUGGAUGAGUUGCGAACGGGUGAGUAACGCGUAGGUAACCUGCUAUGUAGCGGGGGAUAACUAUGGGAAACGAUAUCUAAUACUGCAGAACAAUGGAUGACACAUGACAUUUAUUAGAAUGGGGCAAUUGCUCCACGACAAGAUGGACCUGGGAUUUAUUAGCUAGUAGGGGAGGGAAUGGCCCACCGAGGCGACGUUACAUAGCCGACUCGGGGGGGAGGUCGGCCCCACUGGGACUGGGGCCAGGCCCCAGCUCCUUCCGGGAGCAGCCGUAGGGAAUCUUCGGCAAUGGGGGCCACCCUGACCGCGCACCUCCGCGUGAGUGAAGAAGGUUUUCCGAUCGUAAAGCUCUGUUGUAAGUCAAGAACGGGUGUGAGAGUGGAAAGUUCACGCUGUGACGGUAGCUUACCAGAAAGGACCGGCUAACUACGUG